GUUCCCCAGGCACCAGGCUGGACCUUAGGCUAAAACAAGAAGACGAAGAAGAGCCAUUCACAAGGAGUGCUCUUCCACUUCCCAGAGGGAACAAAUGCCUGCAGCUUGUGGAUCAGAUGUGAGCUCCCAGGUACGGAUCCAGCAUCAUGCCUGCCUGCCACUGUGCUCCUCUCAUGAUGGCACCUUUUCUGGGCCCCGUGAAGAGGGUUUUAAAGCGCUGGAGUUGAAGACUCGGGUUUUCUGGACUCCUACAUCGCUUUGUUGGCUGGGCCCCUUGCUCUGCAGCAAAUGAAUAUCAACCUUUGCUCAGCCCAAUCUGACUUGGAAGAAAAACUUCCGUUCCUUUGUGGGAGUUUCCAUGACACCAAGAGAUUAUGGGCUCACGAGAGCUGCAUCUCUGUAUGGAGCUGCUUGCACACGAGAACCGAGUGGGCGGUUAACGACUUCUGUUGUACUAACACGCGGACAUAGUCGACAAGCCCUGUGGACACCUGGUCAGGUUCCCACGUGGCCUCCCUCAGGGAGACAUUGUGACAGCGCUUUGGCCCAGCUGGAUCUUGCUGGGGUUGGUCGGGAAGGAUCAGCCAAACAGAUCAGUUAGCAUUUUAGUCCCUGUGCUUUUAUUUUUGCUGAAAUCUCUUGAGCGAACAGUUGCAUCACUAAUUGCUAAAUAUGACAUUAUCAGACUGUGCUUCCUGGGGGUAAUCAGGGGGAGCACUUAAUUACAACUGCUUUUGUCUCUAACUAAUGGGAAAGAAUGUUACCAUCCAUGCCCCUGUGCCGCCAUUCCAGAGGAUUGAGCUAUAAUCUCUAGGUGUUAACCGAAGUAGAGGGAAUGACCCAACCUGUGGACAUCAUUGCUUUACCCGAAUUUACCCAGCAACUAACAAAAUAGGUCUCUUUUACUAAAGACUAAUUUUCACAUUAAAAAAAAGAACUUUAUUAUGGGCCUAGUGCAGUUAAAUUGCUGGGCACAGUGGGAAUCCUGCACUUAGGCUGGUAAUAUUACACAAUGAGAAAAUGGCUCAGGUGCGUACCCCGCUGCCUGGUAACUCAGACCCUGGAUAAUUCUCUUUCGAUGAAAUUCCACCAGGUGGCACAAAAUGUCUCAAAGUGCCUCUGAGCAUGCUUUCUGGUGAAUGGGGAGAAAAGGAUUGAGAAGAACAGCAGGGGCCUCACCCACUCUUUCUGAAUGCACACCUCCUUGCCCUCAAGCUGCUUUUACAAAGGCAAAAAGACACAUCCAUAGCAAUGUAUGCAUUCUAUAUGAAUAUCCUUUUGAAUAAUUUAUGAGACUAGGAGGAAGACACAUGGGGCAUUGUGGGAGGAGGGAAAAAAAGGAAGAGGCAGGGGACUCGCAAGGUUGCCAACAUGCCAAAUCCAAAUUCAUCAAUUUCGUUCAGCGGUCUUCAUGUAAAAAUGCUUCUGUGAAUUUAAAUGCAGAAUCUUUCACACAAAUUGUAAAUGUUCUGUCAUGCUGAGAAACUGUAGUGAUUCUAAAGAUUUGUAAAGUUUAACUGAAGUAAAAAUUAUCAAUAUUCAAAGACCAGGGGAAGUGUAAUGAAAUGAAGUAAAAUGCUUUAUUAUUCUAUAUUCUUACCACCCCUGAGAAUAGCCCAAUAUUCAACUAGCUCAGGGACCUGCGCUCAUUAGGUUUUUUGUCAACUUGACACAAGCUAGGGUCAUCUGGAAGUAGGGACCUCAACUGAGAACAUGCCUCCAACGGACAGGCCUGUGAGCAGGUCUGUGGGGGCAUUUUUUAAAAUUAAUAAUGAUAUGGGAGGACCAAGGCCAUUGUGGGAGUUGUCACCCCUGGGUGGGUGGUCCUGGGCUGCACAAAGAAGCAAAAUGAGCAAGACAUGGGGAGCAAGCCAGCAAACAUUAUUCCUCCAUGGUCUCUGCCUUGGUUCCUGCCUCCAUGUUCCUGCUGCAGUUCAAGUCCUGCCCUCCCUCAGUGAUGGAGUCUGACUGGAGAGUUUAUGGUGAAAUAAACCCUUUCCAGCCAACUUGCUUUGGGUCAUGAUGCCUUAUUACAGUGACAGAAACCUAAUUAGAAAGGACCGGAGGUCUGUUAGAAUGGGGUGUCUGUUAAAUAAGCAGGUAUAAAUUGUGAGAACACAAAGUCCAGGUCAGAGGUAGCCUCAGUGACCAGGGAGUCUGAGGCUGCUCAUACUAGUGUCUCAGCCCCAUAAACAGACUACAGAAGUCUCAUAAAGUAUCACACAUAUUCAGGUUGAAAACUUCCCUGAUGAUUUUAAUAUAUCUGUAAUUAAGAAAUGUCGAGCUAAGAAUUCAUUUCUUUUCACAUCAAAUAAGUGUCUAAUUAGGGUUUCUUUUGCCGCGAUAAAUACCGUGACAGAAAACAAGUUGGGGAGGAAAGGGUUCAUUUCAGCUUACACUCAGAUUCUACUCCAUGACUGAGGGAAAUCAGGGCAGGAACUUGGGCAGGAAUGGAAACAGAGGCCAUGGAAGAAUGCUACAUACUGGCUUGCCCUUCAUAGCUUGAUGGUUUGUAUUCUUAUGCACUCCAGGACCGCCUAGCCAGAGAUGGCACCACUCACAAGGGGCUGGACCCUCGUACGUUAGUCAUUGAUCAAGGAAGUGUCCCACCACCUUGCCUGUGGACCAGUCUGACGGAGGCACUUCCCAGCUGAGGUUGCUCUUGUCAGAUAACAGUUACUUGUGUCAAAUUGACAAACAACUGACUAGCACACUGUGGGUAGGUCCCAAGAGCUUCAUGCUAAUAGGCCCUUGACAAGCACAAGCAAAUCAAUGAUGUGAGCUGAUCUAGGAGGUGACCCUUGAAAUCCUUUUUAAUUUACUUUUUUUUGAGAAUUUCAUACACAUGUGUUUACACUAUUUUCACCCCUCCCUCUUCUGUGCCAAUGCCUCCUGUGUCUCCUAUACAUUAUUCUCUUCUCUCUCUCUCU